rnacentral:rRNA from 1 species
AGACUGAAACUCAAAGGAAUUGACGGGGGCCCGCACAAGCGGUGGAGCAUGUGGUUUAAUUCGAAGCAACGCGAAGAACCUUACCAGGUCUUGACAUCCUCUGACAACCCUAGAGAUAGGGCUUUCCCUUUCGGGGACAGAGGGACAGGUGGUGCAUGGUUGUCGUCAGCUCGUGUCGUGAGAUGUUGGGUUAAGUCCCGCAACGAGCGCAACCCUUGAUCUUAGUUGCCAGCAUUCAGUUGGGCACUCUAAGGUGACUGCCGGUGACAAACCGGAGGAAGGUGGGGAUGACGUCAAAUCAUCAUGCCCCUUAUGACCUGGGCUACACACGUGCUACAAUGGACAGAACAAAGGGCUGCAAGACCGCAAGGUUUAGCCAAUCCCAUAAAUCUGUUCUCAGUUCGGAUCGCAGUCUGCAACUCGACUGCGUGAAGCUGGAAUCGCUAGUAAUCGCGGAUCAGC